UUUUUUUCUUCUUCUUCUUUUUUCUUUUUUUUCUAAAAAAUAUUCAAUUGAACCUUCAUGCAAAGAUUUUAUUUGAACCUAUUUGCCUAUGGAUUUAUAAAUAGGUUUAAAUAGGUAUAUCGGUUUACAAGACCAGCCUCAUCACCUGACCAAGUCACAUGACUCCUAUAUCUGCUCACAGUGUCCUGAUUACUAAUCACACACACCUGUCUCCCAUUUACAAACUCACCUUCUCACACACACACUUCAGAAAAUCUCGCACAAGCCUUUUCUGUGAUUCCACGAGUUUGUUUGUUUGUUUGUUUGUUUGUUUUACUGUUAAAGUUUUGGGGGGGUUUUCCCCCCCUUUUCUUCUUGAGUUUAUUUAAGUCUGUUUGUUGAUCACCUGGCUUGGUUUCAACCGCCAUUUUGGAUUUAUCUGAUUGACUACCUCCUGGCUUUUAAAACCCACCCUGCUCCUUCUUCCCUCCAGCUCCCUGCUUUAUACCUGACAGUUUGUUUGCUGGACUUGGCGUCAUUGUGCCGUCAUUUUCUGAGGGAAAACCCUGGGAAUACGAUCGCACCGCUGGACUACGUUCCCCACAAGUCAACAUGACCGUGUUUUCCUCGAAGGUUAAAAAGCGACCAUAGUGGAACUGGAGUUUUUCCACCCGGAGGCGAAAAUCUUUUUCGAGGAAAACCCCGUCUCGUGAUUUUUAAGAAGAAUUUUUUUUUUUUUUUUAAAUUUUAUUUAUUACAUUUUUUAUCUCACAAAUCUGUGCCGUCAUUUGUGACGAAUAAAACCGUCUUCUGAUCAGACUGUUCAACAAAA